rnacentral:tRNA from 1 species
GCCAGCAUGGUGUAGUGGUUUGAGUUAGACUACAACCCUGGAGAUCAGGGUUCGAUUCCCCGCUUGCA